rnacentral:rRNA from 1 species
AAUGGGCGCAAGCCUGAUGCAGCAACGCCGCGUGAGGGAUGAAGGCCUUCGGGUUGUAAACCUCUUUUAGCAGGGAAGAAGCGAAAGUGACGGUACCUGCAGAAAAAGCACCGGCUAACUACGUGCCAGCAGCCGCGGUAAUACGUAGGGUGCAAGCGUUGUCCGGAAUUAUUGGGCGUAAAGAGCUCGUAGGCGGUUUGUCGCGUCUGCUGUGAAAAUCCAAGGCUCAACCUUGGACUUGCAGUGGGUACGGGCAGGCUAGAGUGCGGUAGGGGAGAUGGGAAUUCCUGGUGUAGCGGUGGAAUGCGCAGAUAUCAGGAGGAACACCAAUGGCGAAGGCACAUCUCUGGGCCGUAACUGACGCUGAGGAGCGAAAGCGUGGGGAGCGAACAGGAUU